ACAAACUUGGUCAUUUAGAGGAAGUAAAAGUCGUAACAAGGUUUCCGUAGGUGAACCUGCGGAAGGAUCAUUUGGGAAGAGCGGGGGGCAUCUCUCUCUUUUUUUAGGGGGGGGGGGAUGGCUUGCUCGUAUUUACUCGAGAGGCGCUUAUAUUUGGGCGCGGUCCAGCGCGGCAGCGGUAAGCAGCUGGCUGGGCGGAUUGUGUUUCCCUGCAAAGGGGGAAUGCGUCCCCUUGGAAAAAAGGGGUCCAGGCCUCACCGUGGCGAGGGGUGGAACCCACCUGGUUCUCCUUAGGGUGGAACGUCUCCUUAGGGUGGAACGUCUCCUUAGGGUGGAACGUCUCCUUAGGGUGGAACGGGGGGAGCUAAAUUGGACCCCGGGAGAAUCGAAAGCAAGAAGAGUUUUGAAGAGGUUUUUUUGUGAAUGAGCAAACACAACCAUAAACAACGGAUCUCUAGGCUCCUGCAUCGAUGAAGAACGCAGC
rnacentral:misc_RNA from 1 species